UGAACGACAACAGUGUACAGACGUGUCAGUGAAUUAAGUGAAAGUGUACAAUUAAAUAUAAAUCACGGUUAUCGCUAAAAACUUUGGCUGAACAGUAAAAACCUUUGCAUAUGGCGUAUUGAAAAAAACACGUAAAAAGUGCGACACAAAUUAAAUUAAGAUGUGUUCGUUCCUCGAUCCUCGAACGCAGAAACCUCAACAAAUUCUCUUCACAAAUCACAAUACACGUAGCUAAUUUGCGCCUCAUUAUUGCAAGUCUUAGCCCUUCAACUACACAAUACAAUAACUAUUGUAACGUAAUUGUAAUAAAUUAUUCAAUAAACAUUAUUGUGUCGUGUCAGCGGUUAUAAACCCUUCUAUUCGACGAUAAGAAAUGUUUAAGAUUAACAAAAUUAUUAAACGCUUUUAAUAAAAGUUAAAUAUUUUUUUUUGUAACACAAAUAAAACAUGUACGUCACUA